rnacentral:rRNA from 1 species
UACGUAGGUGGCAAGCGUUGUCCGGAAUUAUUGGGCGUAAAGCGCGCGCAGGCGGUCCUUUAAGUCUGAUGUGAAAGCCCACGGCUCAACUGUGGAGGGUCAUUGGAAACUGGGGGACUUGAGUACAGAAGAGGAAAGCGGAAUUCCACGUGUAGCGGUGAAAUGCGUAGAGAUGUGGAGGAACACCAGUGGCGAAGGCGACUCUUUGGUCUGUAACUGACGCUGAGGCGCGAAAGCGUGGGGAGCAAACAGG